UUCCGGUUGAUCCUGCCGGACCUGACUGCUAUUGGAGUAGGACUAAGUCACGCUAGUCAAAGGUGUGGAAUGGAACACCUGGCGCACGGCUCAGUAACACGUAAUGAAUCUACCCUAAGGACGAGGACAACCACGGGAAACUGUGGCUAAUCCUCGAUAGGAAAUUUGGCCUGGAACGGUAUCUUUCCAAAAACCGGCUCGCCGUGAGACACGGGCCUUAGGAUGGCGUUGCGGCCGAUUAUGCUAGACGGCGGUGUAAAGGACCACCGUGGCUACGAUCGGUAUGGGCGAUGGAAGUCGGAGCCCAGAGUCGGCUACUGAGACAAGGAGCCGAGCCUUACGAGGCUUAGCGGUCGCGAAAACUCGCCAAUGCACGAAAGUGUGAGUGGGCUACUCCAAGUGUCAUUCUUACGGAUGACUGUCGCUCAGUUUUACAAGCUGAGAAAGGAAGGAGAGGGCAAGGCUGGUGCCAGCCGCCGCGGUAAAACCAGCUCUUCGAGUGGUCAGGACGAAUAUUGGGUCUAAAGCGUUCGUAGCGGGACAUGUAGGUUCCUGGUUAAAUCCGAUGUCACAAGCAUCGGGCUGCUGGGAAUACCGCAAGUCUUGAGAGCGGGAUAGGACAGGGGUAGUAUAUGGGCAGGGGUGAAAUCCAGUGAUCCAUAUGCGACCACCGAUGGCGAAUGCACCUGUCUGGAACGUAUCUAACCGUGAUGGACGAAAGCCAGGGGAGCGACCCGGAUUAAUACCCGGUUAGUCCUGGCCGUAAACGAUGCCGACUAGUGUUGCAGCGCCAAGAGCACUGCAGUGCCCAGUGAAGACGUUAAGUCGGCCACCUGGGGAGUACGAUCGCAAGAUUGAAACUUAAAUGAAUUGACGGGGGCCCACCACCAGGAAUGAAGCCUGCGGUUUAAUUGGAUUCAACGCCGGA
rnacentral:rRNA from 1 species